CAGCCGCCGCGGUAAAACGAAGGGGGCUAGCGUUGUUCGGAAUUACUGGGCGUAAAGCGCACGUAGGCGGAUACUUAAGUUAGGGGUGAAAUCCCAGGGCUCAACCCUGGAACUGCCUUUAAUACUGGGUAUCUUGAGUUCGAGAGAGGUAAGUGGAAUUCCGAGUGUAGAGGUGAAAUUCGUAGAUAUUCGGAGGAACACCGGUGGCGAAAGCGGCUCUCUGGCUUGUAACUGACGCUGAGGCUCGAAAGCGUGGGGAGCAAACAGGAUUAGAUACCCCCGUAGUCCCUGUCUCUUAUAC
rnacentral:rRNA from 1 species